AUGAAAUGAAUAAGCUUAUUCAUAUUUUCCAAUUCACCGUAUAUGAGAAAAACUGUAAUUAAAUGUUUUAUAUGAACAUUUGGCUUUCGUUCUGUAGAAUAUGAUUUUUAAACAUCUCGAUCUACUAUUAUUAUCAUCGUUCGGUUACAUAGCCCUGUUAAAGGAGAAAGAAUGGGAUUGGGGUUAAACUUUUAUGAGCAAAAUAAAAAUAUAAGUUCUUUGUAAUAGGAUGCGUUGUGACAAGCUUAGUUGAAACUGACUUAGUGGUUCUGGAGUAAGAGAUGAAACGAGCAAAUUGACACCAAGGACAUCGACAAAUACGGACGGCAGACAAAUUUAAACGGAGUAAAACAUCUCAGCAGAGCCUUAUGCAUAGGCUUUAUUGUCAUCAGCAAUCCCCAUCAUAGCAAGGAACAACUCUAGAUGAGUGUGAACUGGUGCGAUGUGUGCAUACAUGUGGCAAAUAAAUGUCGUAAACAUCAUAAAAAGACAACGAAUUUUGUUCCCUUGGUGAUUCUUAUUUAAACCAUCAUGGUUUUGGAUAUUAACUUGAAAAGUGGCUUU